rnacentral:rRNA from 1 species
AGCAGCCGCGGUAAUUCCAGCUCCAAUAGCGUAUAUUAAAGUUGUUGCAGUUAAAAAGCUCGUAGUUGAAUUUCGGGGUUAGUAGGUUGGUCAUGCCUCUGGUAUGUACUGGUCUCACUGAUUCCUCCUUCCUGAUGAACCUUAAUGCCAUUUAUUUGGUGUUUUGGGGAAUUUGGACUGUUACUUUGAAAAAAUUAGAGUGUUUAAAGCAAGCUAACGCUUGAAUACAUUAGCAUGGAAUAAUGAAAUAGGACGUUCGAUCCUAUUUUGUUGGUUUCUAGGAUUGACGUAAUGAUUAAUAGGGAUAGGUUGGGGGCAUUAGU